GACGAACGCUGGCGGCGUGCUUAACACAUGCAAGUCGAACGGAAGGGCCUGCUUUCCCUUGUGGAUUGCGGGUACUCGAGUGGCGAACGGGUGAGUAACACGUGAGUGAUCUGCCCCCAACUUGGGUAUAAGCCUGGGAAACUGGGUCUAAUUCCCGAUAGGACUGCAGGGUGGUGCCUGUGGUGGAAAACGAUUUUCUAGUGGUUGGGGAUGAGCUCGCGGCCUAUCAGCUUGUUGGUGGGGUAAUGGCCUACCAAGGCGGCGACGGGUAGCCGGCCUGAGAGGGUGGACGGCCACAUUGGGACUGAGAUACGGCCCAGACUCCUACGGGAGGCAGCAGUGGGGAAUAUUGCACAAUGGGCGGAAGCCUGAUGCAGCGACGCCGCGUGGGGGAUGACGGCCUUCGGGUUGUAAACUCCUUUCGACCGCGAGGAAGCCACCUGGUUGGAAGGGUGGUGGCGGUAGUGGUAGAAGAAGCACCGGCUAACUACGUG
rnacentral:rRNA from 1 species